UUUUCCAUUUUUGGAUCCAAUAUAAUGAAAAUCACUUUCCGUCACACUCUUUUUUGCUUCCUCUGCAAUAAUGAGUUCAACCUCACUUGAAAACAAUGAUCAUCACCAAAACCAGAAUAAUGAUACAUCAAAAGUCACCCACAAUUUUCAAAGACCCCUCUCAAGACCCAAGAAGAACGUAUUUCCUCCAUCCAUGUGAUAAUCCCAGCGCCGUUUUGGUUGCAAAUGCGCUCACCGACAACAAUCAUCAUAAUUGAAGCCGAUGGAUGAGACGAGCACUUUCCUCCAAGAACAAGAACAAGAUCGCGUUCAUCAAUGGAACUCUUCAGAAACCCCUCUCUACGAAUCCCAAUUUUGAUCUUUGGGAGAGAUGCAACAACAUGGUAAUUUCAUGGAUCACUCGAACCCUUUCCCAACAUAUCUUUCACAGUACAAUCUGCAUCGAAUCUACUUUUGAUCUUUGGACAGAUAUUGAAGAUUGAUUCACUAAAUGCAAUUACUUUAGGGUUUCUGAUCUUCUCAGUGACCUCCACUCAACUCAGCAAGGAGAACGAUCUCUUUCAAGUUUCAACCUAGUUCAUUGAUAUGAAGAUUUUACGGGAUGAAUUAGAGGAUCUUCGACCUACACGUACUUGUGCGCUCUCCAGCCCGGUCAAAAAUUUUCAAGAACAUAGUACAUCAUUUGCUUCCUCAAAGGGCUCAAUGGAAACGACACCAACAUUCGCACUCAAAUUCUUCUUAUGGAUCAUCUCUCCUCCAUUUCCAAGGUAUAUUCCCUAGUAUCUCAAUAGGACCCUCCCCUAAUUGAAAAAUCCAUUGACUCCAUUGUUCUUGCUGUUAACACAAACAAUUCCAAAAACCCUUAUUAUCCAUCUAAGGACCGAGGAAGAGGAUCCAAAACCCCUAUGCUUUACACCCAUUGCAGAAAAACUAACCAUACCGUGGACCAUUGUUAUUUUAAACAUGGUUACCGACCCAUACCAACAUAUAAAACCCUAAACAAGCCAACCAUAUCAUGCUAAUUCCAGAAACCCCAACCCAUCAUCCAACACCAACACUGAUAACCAUAAUUCGAGUGACAAAAACCUUGCCCUAUCCAAAGAAGACUACCAAUACCUAGUGAAUCUUUUGGAGUCCUCAAGAUCAUAGUCUUUCAACAAUAACAAGCAUCACGAUGAAUCUAACACCCCCAUUUAUUUGUGACUUUCAUGUGAUUUUUUGAUUAUUGUGUUGUUGUAAUUAAAUUAUUAGGAAGUUUGGGUGUGUGUUUGUGUGUCUUUGAGGUGGGAGAGUGGCGGCAGAGUUAGAGGUUGAUAAAAUUAAUUUAAUAAUUAAAAUAAUAGUAGUUUAUUUGAUUUCUUUAAUUAAAAUGAGAAAAUAGAGAAUUAGGGCUAGAUAUAUUUAAUUAAAAGUGGAAAAUAAGAGAAAUAAAAGGGAGGAGUGAGAGAGGAUUAAUUGAGGGGAGAAAUCACAAUUUUAAAUAGAUUAAUAUCCUAACUAUUUAAGGUUAAGCAUAGUCUAGAUUUCAGGGUAUUUGUCGUGAAAAAAUUGGAUUAGAGAGGCAAGAGACUAGAGAAAGAGUUUAGAGAAUAGAAGGCUAGAAGUGGAGAAAGAGACAUCAAUCAAACCGAGAAAAUUAUCAAUUGCUGCUAGGAGAACCAAGUAUAGGGGAGACCUGCUUCUCUAAUGGGUAUAUGCAUGACAGGACUUGCUUACCCAAAGGACGAUUGAACAUGUUAAUCUCUUCAACAAUUCUCUAUAUCUUUCAACAGUCUCCAAAGGGUCAUAACCUAUCUGCAUUACCUGCUCUACCUUAUAUAGAUACAAGAGAUACUACCUUUGAUGAAACCCAGUUUAUCAACAAUACUGUAAGAUUUAUACCUUCACAAAUUUUUGAUAAGUGGCACUUCAGGUUAGGCCACCCACCCAACCUUUUCUAUUUUACAACUAUGUAUUACAUUUUCCUACAUUUCUAUUAAUGAAAACAUGGGUUGUGAUCA